rnacentral:rRNA from 1 species
AGAGUUUGAUCCUGGCUCAGGAUGAACGCUGGCGGCGUGCCUAAUACAUGCAAGUCGAACGCUUUGUGGUUCAACUGAUUUGAAGAGCUUGCUCAGAUAUGACGAUGGACAUUGCAAAGAGUGGCGAACGGGUGAGUAACACGUGGGAAACCUACCUCUUAGCAGGGGAUAACAUUUGGAAACAGAUGCUAAUACCGUAUAACAAUAGCAACCGCAUGGUUGCUACUUAAAAGAUGGUUCUGCUAUCACUAAGAGAUGGUCCCGCGGUGCAUUAGUUAGUUGGUGAGGUAAUGGCUCACCAAGACGAUGAUGCAUAGCCGAGUUGAGAGACUGAUCGGCCACAAUGGGACUGAGACACGGCCCAUACUCCUACGGGAGGCAGCAGUAGGGAAUCUUCCACAAUGGGCGAAAGCCUGAUGGAGCAACGCCGCGUGUGUGAUGAAGGGUUUCGGCUCGUAAAACACUGUUGUAAGAGAAGAAUGACAUUGAGAGUAACUGUUCAAUGUGUGACGGUAUCUUACCAGAAAGGAACGGCUAAAUACGUGCCAGCAGCCGCGGUAAUACGUAUGUUCCAAGCGUUAUCCGGAUUUAUUGGGCGUAAAGCGAGCGCAGACGGUUAUUUAAGUCUGAAGUGAAAGCCCUCAG